rnacentral:rRNA from 1 species
CACGAACUGCGCAAACGUUAUUCGGAAUCACUGGGCUUAAAGAGUUCGUAGGCGGCCCUGCAAGUCGGGUGUGAAAUCCCUCGGCUCAACCGAGGAAUUGCGCCCGAUACUGUUGGGCUUGAGGAAGUUAGAGGUGAGCGGAACUGAUGGUGGAGCGGUGAAAUGCGUUGAUAUCAUCAGGAACACCGGUGGCGAAAGCGGCUCACUGGGACUUUUCUGACGCUGAGGAACGAAAGCUAGGGGAGCGAACGGG